rnacentral:rRNA from 1 species
UACAGAGGUCUCAAGCGUUGUUCGGAUUCAUUGGGCGUAAAGGGUGCGUAGGUGGCGUCGUAAGUCAGGUGUGAAAUCUCGGGGCUUAACUCCGAAACUGCAUUUGAUACUGCGGUGCUUGAGGACUGGAGAGGAGACUGGAAUUUACGGUGUAGCAGUGAAAUGCGUAGAGAUCAUGAGGAAGACCAGUGGCGAAGGCGGGGUCUCUGGACAGUUCCUGACACUGAGACACGAAGGCCAGGGGAGCAAACGGG